CCUACGGGAGGCAGCAGUGGGGAAUAUUGCACAAUGGGGGGAACCCUGAUGCAGCAAUGCCGCGUGAAGGAUGAAGGUUUUCGGAUUGUAAACUUCUUUUGUACGGGACGAAGAAAGUGACGGUACCAUAAGAAUAAGCCACGGCUAACUACGUGCCAGUCGCAGCGGUAAUACGUAGGUGGCAAGCGUUAUCCGGAUUUACUGGGUGUAAAGGGGGAGGAGGCGGGAUUGCAAGUCCGAUGUGAAAACUAUGGGCACAAACGCUAGAUUGCAUUUGAUACCGCAGUUCUUGAGUGAUGGAGAGGCAGGCGGAAUGCCCGGUGCAGCGGUGGAAUGCGUAGAUAUCUGGAGGAACAGCAGUGGCGAAGGCGGCCUGCUGGACAUUAACUGACGCUGAGGCGCGAAAGCGUGGGGAGCAAACAUGAUUAGAUUCCCCUGUAGUC
rnacentral:rRNA from 1 species